rnacentral:lncRNA from 1 species
UCCUGCCUCAGCCUCCGAGCCCCUGGGAUGACAGGCGUGGGCCACCGUGCCUGGCCUCCCCAGGGAUUCUGACAUGAGCUGUGGCUGAGCCCCUGCCAAGGAGCAGCCAAGGCUCCAUCCCAGAGUUCACCCCACCCAGGGAGGGAAGCACAAAUAAUGGUUCUGAGCGGCUGGCUGGACGCCCGCUGGUCUUCUGCCUCCAGAACAGGCCCUGCCACCCCUGACCUGCAUUGGGAAGGGCCAGGAGAUGACCCUGAGCCAGUCRGAGCCUGUCUCCUGAGAAAUGAGGCAGGACGCCGGACCUGGACAUCCCACUUUCCCCCUCAUCCGUCUCAGCAACCUGGAACCCACUGUUCUGCACAGAAGCCUGAGGAGGGCUGACCUUGUCUGCAGACCCCAGAAGGGAAUCUCCCCAUGGAGCCGGGCGCGCCUGGUGUGGGCUGGUUGGUGCUUCGCGGUCUGCCCCCAUCUCCUGCAGYGAGGGGGCCUGGAGUGAGCCCCGGCCUAGCUCCACCUGGCCCCAUGGAGGACAGCAGAGAGGAGCAGGGCCAAGGGCAUUCAAGGGACUCAGCCAGCACUGCUGAGCCAAGUACCUUCAGAUUCCUGACCCAGAAACCAUGAURUAUCUUCUGUUUUAGGACAACUUGUCAUGGUCAUCAGGUAACUAAUACACGCUGGGGGCAGUUUCUCAAGAGUUGGGGUGUAAUACCCAAAGGGUUGUUCUGCCCUCUAGCCCGACUGUGUCCCCUGAYCCAAUAUGGAGAAAGGGGAAGAGAUGAGACACGGACCUGGACGUUGUUUUUUCCCUUCAUUUAAUUAACACUUUACAAAGUACAAAAUAUACUGUCUUUUGGGGAACAUUAGGUACUCUUUUCUCUCCGCCAUACAGUACAUGAAUCUCGAGGGUUUUGUGUUUCUUUGACAAAGAAAGUAAGCGUGAGGCCCCAGGGCUGGGGCGGGGCUUCCAGUUCUCCCCUCCGCCCAGGCCUCUGGGUGGACAAAGUGCCACUGCUGGUAACCCGGGCACAACAGGCCAGGUGCAGCCCAGAAGGGGCUGUGGGCAGGACGCCCAGCUCCCCAGCGAGGCUCCCCAGUGAGGCCCGGGGUGGAGGCCCAGGGUGGAGGCCAGCAGCGCCCCCCCCCAUGCCCACUCG